rnacentral:rRNA from 1 species
GUCGAGGGGUAACAGGGGAGCUUGCUUCUGCUGACGACCGGCGCACGGNUGNGUAACGCGUAUACAAUCUGCCUUAUACUGGGGGAUAGCCUUUGGAAACGAAGAUUAAUACCCCAUAGUAAGUGAAGAUGGCAUCAUCAUCACUUUAAAGAUUACGGUAUAAGAUGAGUAUGCGUCCUAUUAGUUUGUUGGUAAGGUAACGGCUUACCAAGACUACGAUAGGUAGGGGCCCUGAGAGGGGGAUCCCCCACACUGGUACUGAGACACGGACCAGACUCCUACGGGAGGCAGCAGUGAGGAAUAUUGGACAAUGGGCGAGAGCCUGAUCCAGCCAUGCCGCGUGCAGGAAGACGGCCCUAUGGGUUGUAAACUGCUUUUAUACAGGAAGAAACACUCCCUCGUGAGGGAGCUUGACGGUACUGUAAGAAUAAGGACCGGCUAACUCCGUGCCAGCAGCCGCGGUAAUACGGAGGGUCCGAGCGUUAUCCGGAAUCAUUGGGUUUAAAGGGUCCGUAGGCGGGCAGCUCAGUCAGUGGUGAAAGUCUGUGGCUCAACCAUAGAAUUGCCAUUGAUACUGGUUGUCUUGAAUUAUUGUGAAGUGGUUAGAAUAAGUAGUGUAGCGGUGAAAUGCAUAGAUAUUACUUAGAAUACCAAUUGCGAAGGCAGAUCACUAACAAUAUAUUGACGCUGAUGGACGAAAGCGUGGGGAGCGAACAGGAUUAGAUACCCUGGUAGUCCACGCCGUAAACGAUGGAUACUAGCUGUUCGNGAGCAAUCUUGAGUGGCUAAGCGAAAGUGAUAAGUAUCCCACCUGGGGAGUACGUUCGCAAGAAUGAAACUCAAAGGAAUUGACGGGGGCCCGCACAAGCGGNGGANCAUGUGGUUUAAUUCNAUGAUACGCGAGGAACCUUACCAGGGCUUAANUGUAGUCUGACAGGGNNGGAAACACUCNUUUCUCNGANANAUUACAAGGNGCUGCAUNNNNNUCGUCAGCUC